UUAGAAGAAAGUUGCCCAAAAGGUCCCACCCUUUUUCAUCACCCAAGCCAACAGUACCAUCCAAAAAGAAAAGUCCAGAUGUGGAGAAAACACCAAAAACAGAUGUUAAAAGACAGUCAAGUGGUGGCCCAAGCCAGGCUUCUAGUUCAACACCAGUCACCCCAAGGUCAGCUGGGAGAUAUGAGCUGAGAAAUGUAACACCAGCCAGUUAUUCAGCCGUAAGAAGGCGUACAUCAGUGUUUACGCCAGGACGGGCCACUUUAAAAACUCCUUCCAGAACGCCUUUUAGAACACCCAAAAUAAAAUCAUUUGGCGUUAAACCUCCACCUGAUAUUUCUCAAGCUUCUAGAUUACAUAAGGAAGACGCUGCAUUAUGGAAGGAUCAGU